GCAGAUGCAAGAUCAGGAGGGUGAAGGUUCCGAUGGUUGCUGGAUGGUGUAGGCAGAUGCAAGAUCAGGAGGGUGAAGGUUCCGAUGGUUGCUGGAUGGUGUAGGCAGAUGCAAGAUCAGGAAGGUGAAGGUUCAGAUGGUUGCUGGAUGGUGUAGGCAGAUGCAAGAUCAGGAGGGUGAAGGUUCAGAUGGUUGCUGGAUGGUGUAGGCAGAUGCAAGAUCAGGG
rnacentral:lncRNA from 1 species